CUGCUGAGCUAGACCACUCGGCUCCUUGUCUUCAGCCCCCUUUCCAGGAGACGAAGGACCCUGGUGUUUCUCCAGUCAUUGGAGCCAUAUCAUUUUGGUGCAUUGGCUGGAAAUCCAAGGUACAACACUCAUCGGAGCGGUGAGUAUAGGAGCGGACUUUCUACUUUCAUUUCCAAGGCUUCUCGUCCUCAGUUUUUAUUCUCUCAAAUAACUAUAUAAAAAAA
rnacentral:lncRNA from 1 species